GAUGAACGCUGGCGGCGUGCCUAAUACAUGCAAGUCGAGCGAACAGACGAGGAGCUUGCUCCUCUGACGUUAGCGGCGGACGGGUGAGUAACACGUGGAUAACCUACCUAUAAGACUGGGAUAACUUCGGGAAACCGGAGCUAAUACCGGAUAACAUGUUGAACCGCAUGGUUCAACAGUGAAAGACGGUCUUGCUGUCACUUAUAGAUGGAUCCGCGCCGCAUUAGCUAGUUGGUAAGGUAACGGCUUACCAAGGCAACGAUGCGUAGCCGACCUGAGAGGGUGAUCGGCCACACUGGAACUGAGACACGGUCCAGACUCCUACGGGAGGCAGCAGUAGGGAAUCUUCCGCAAUGGGCGAAAGCCUGACGGAGCAACGCCGCGUGAGUGAAGAAGGUCUUCGGAUCGUAAAACUCUGUUAUUAGGGAAGAACAAAUGUGUAAGUAACUAUGCACGUCUUGACGGUACCUAAUCAGAAAGCAACGGCUAACUACGUG
rnacentral:rRNA from 1 species